GUCUUUAUGGGGCUUUCUUUGAAACUUGGGCCCUUCGGAAUGGCUAGCAAGAGGAAGGGUGGUGUGAAGAAGGGCGGUUCUGCCAUCAAGAGGUAGUGAAAACACCAUGAACAUUCUUAAGUGCAUCCGUGGAGUGGACUUCAAGAAGAAGAGAUCAUGGAAAUUUGCCCAUGGAGGAGACGGGAACUCCAGAUGUGCACGUUGACACCAGGCUCAACAAAGCUGUCUGAACCAAAGAACUAAGCAAUGUCCCAGCCCUUGCCUGGGUGCGACUGCGGUUGUCCAGAAAACACAAGGAGGAUGAAGGUUCAUCAAACAAGCUUUGUAGUUGGUUACCUAGCAGAUUACAGCAGUUGAUUAACACAUGCAUGGCAUUAUCAUAUGCUGUCAUAAAUGAACCUGCUGCUUUCCUUACUGACCUGAAGUGAUCUCAGAAAACUUAGGAGGACAAUUUUGACUUGCAGUACAGAAGAUAGGUUGGAGGGGGAAAGGUGGAUAGAGAAUGCAUUGGAGGUAGGGAGAUCAUUAGGUGUAUUAAAAAAAUUGCUUAUGCUAUUACGGUUGGUCCCGCUUUUCCCC